CAGAUGUUGGAGAUUCACUGGUGGGAGGACUGUUUGCGCUAAACCCCUUUUCCUGGAUGGGAGAACAUCUUUAGGAAAAACACACAUUGCUCAAUUUCACACUUUGGUCUCCAGAACAGGGCAUGUUGUAUCCAGGUAAGGUGCAUCAUUUUCAAGGCAUUUUACAUU
rnacentral:lncRNA from 1 species